GAUGAACGCUGGCGGCGUGCCUAAUACAUGCAAGUCGAGCGAACGGACGAGAAGCUUGCUUCUCUGAUGUUAGCGGCGGACGGGUGAGUAACACGUGGGUAACCUACCUAUAAGACUGGGAUAACUUCGGGAAACCGGAGCUAAUACCGGAUGAUAUUUUGAACCGCAUGGUUCAAAAGUGAAAGACGGUCUUGCUGUCACUUAUAGAUGGAUCCGCGCUGCAUUAGCUAGUUGGUAAGGUAACGGCUUACCAAGGCAACGAUGCAUAGCCGACCUGAGAGGGUGAUCGGCCACACUGGAACUGAGUCACGGUCCAGACUCCUACGGGAGGCAGCAGUAGGGAAUCUUCCGCAAUGGGCGAAAGCCUGACGGAGCAACGCCGCGUGAGUGAUGAAGGUCUUCGGAUCGUAAAACUCUGUUAUUAGGGAAGAACAUAUGUGUAAGUAACUGUGCACAUCUUGACGGUACCUAAUCAGAAAGCCACGGCUAACUACGUG
rnacentral:rRNA from 1 species